rnacentral:rRNA from 1 species
AUUGAACGCUGGCGGAAUGCUUUACACAUGCAAGUCGAACGGCAGCACGGGUGCUUGCACCUGGUGGCGAGUGGCGAACGGGUGAGUAAUGUAUCGGAACGUAUCCAAUAAUGGGGGAUAACUAAUCGAAAGGUUGGCUAAUACCGCAUACGCCCUACGGGGGAAAGCAGGGGAUCUUCGGACCUUGCGUUAAUGGAGCGGCCGAUAUCUGAUUAGCUAGUUGGUGAGGUAAAGGCUCACCAAGGCGACGAUCAGUAGCUGGUCUGAGAGGACGACGAGCCACACUGGAACGGAGACAGGGUGAAGACCCCAAGGGGAGGAAGCAGUUGGGAGUUUUGGACAAUGGGGGAAACCCUGAGCAGGCCAUUCCGCGGGAGUUAAGAAGGCCUUCGGGUUGUAAAGCGUUUUCGCAAGGGAAGAAACGAUACAUUUUAAUAACGUGUGUUAAGGACGGUACUUGGAUAAGAAGCCCCGGCUAACUACGGGCCAGCCGCGGCGGUAA